rnacentral:lncRNA from 1 species
CUAAUUAUUUUCACAGAUGAAGGAGCAAAGUGACUUGCCCAGGGUGCUAUUAUUAUUUAGUAAAUAUAGCUACAUCAGAGGAUGACAAGUAGAAUCAUUAAAGAAAUACAUCCAUUGGACUUGGUUCAGAAGAAUGAUUGUCUAGAACUCUUCAAAUCUGUGACUUCGCAGCUGUAAUCAAAACCAGCGGGAGAGUUUCUGACUUAUAUCCCUGGCAGAGAACUCACAGAAUACAUAAUACAUACCCAGAAGAGUUAAGAGAGUUUCAAUAGUUUCUUAGGUAACAGUUUUCAUUCUCUGCUCUGAAGAUGUUUGAAAAAUGAAAGGCUGUAACCCCAA